AUGAUCAGAUCAAACCUUGUAUGCAUCUUCAUAUAUAGGGAUCCUGGGCGCGCUCAUAGUACCGAUUUUUUGUUGUUGUGUUACCGUACAUAUAAUGCCCUAAUGUUGAAUGCCACGUGCUCUUUAGUUUCUCCUCAUGCAAGUAUGAACGUGGUGACCGACAAAUGGGUUUUCCGCCAUAAGCUCAAUCCAGAUGGAUCCCUUGCUUGGUAUAAAGCUCGGUGGGUGGUUUGUGGCUUUUCUCAGCAUCACGGGGUGGACUACGAUGAGACGUUUAUCCCGGUGGUCAAGCCGGCAAUGAUCUGUGUGGUGCUCAUCAUGGCCACUGCUCGCUCAUGGCCCAUUCAUUGA
rnacentral:rRNA from 1 species